AGGGGACCUUCACAACCCUGGAAUCAAACCUGUGUCUCCUGCAUUGGCAGGCAGAUUCUUUACCGCUGAGCCAUUGGGAAAGCCUUACUCUAAUCUACAGUUAACAUUAAAUAGAACUUUUUAUAUUAAAAAAAAAAAACAACCCAGCCUUUUACCUCGUUGCAGCUGAGAAAGCAACAUGGGUCACCAGCAGCUCUACUGGAGCCAUCCGAGAAAAUUCAGCCAGGGUUCUCGCUCUUGCCGGGUCUGCUCAAACCAGCACGGUCUGAUCCGGAAAUACGGCCUUAAUAUGUGCCGCCAGUGUUUCCGCCAGUAUGCGAAUGACAUCGGCUUAAUUAAGUUGGACUAACCGAACUUCCUUAGAUGGCUCAUCCAGCACAUCAACCUUAGGCGGAAAUAAUACUAGCUUUUUGUAUAUAAAAUAAAAGCUUAAAAAAAAAGUUUUCUGAACUUCAAAAAAAAUAAAUAAAUAAAAUAUAAUUUAAAUAAAUAAAUAAAUAAAACCCCUAAACUUUGAAAUAACUUCUUGAAGUGAGUGGAAAGAGGAAAGUGAAUAAAUAGCCUGCUUUAUGUCCUCUUAGUUUAAGAAAUAGGAAGUAGGAUUUCUUCCUCUGUGUAACUACUGAAGAUACUGAAUACUUGAAGAUGGUUUUUUAAAAAGCAGACUCUAGAUGGCUUUCUAGAUGCAAAAGUAGGAAGU